rnacentral:lncRNA from 1 species
UUAUACAUUUAUAAAAUUACAACCGUUUUUUAGUGGUGCAUUAAUGUUUAUUUUUUUUUAUAGAAAUGAUAAAAUAAACUUAGUUACAAAUAUAAAAUAAUAAAUUUCGAACUGGAGACCUAAAGUAUCGACUAUUAAAUUUUUUAUCCCUUGUGCUCAGAACAAUCGGGUGAAUAAGUUGACAACAGAUAGCAUUUAUUUCUCAUGAAAUUAGAAAAUGUCAAUG